rnacentral:rRNA from 1 species
CCAAUAGCGUCUAUUAAAGUUGCUGCAGUUAAAAAGCUCGUAGUUGAAUUUCGGGACCAAUAUGUCGGUCGUGCCUCGGUACGUACUGGCAUCGUUGGUUUCUCCCUUCUGAAGAACCAUGAUGUCAUUCAUUUGGUGUCGUGGGGAAUCAGGACUGUUACUUUGAAAAAAUUAGAGUGUUUAAAGCAGGCUCACGCUUGAAUACAUUAGCAUGGAAUAAUGAAAUAGGACGUUUGAUUCUAUUUUGUUGGUUUCUAGGAUCGACGUAAUGAUUAAUAGGGAUAGUUGGGGGCAUUAGUAUUCAAUUGUCAGAGGUGAAAUUCUUGGAUUUAUUGAAGACUAACUACUGCGAAAGCAUUUGCCAAGGAUGUUUUCAUUAAUCAAGAACGAAAGUUAGGGGAUCGAAGACGAUCAGAUACCGUCGUAGUCUUAACCAUAAACUAUGCCGACUAGGGAUCGGAUGAUGUUAAUUUUUUAAUGACUCAUUCGGCGCCUUACG